UAGAUUUUUCAUACUAACUUAGUUGCUGAUGAGUUAACAUUUCAGUGGUUGGUGUUGCGAUAUGAAAAGUUAUUCAUUGUGGCUUAUUUUUUUACAAGGGAAAUUUGAUUCCAUGUAGCUUGGAGUGAUAAUACAAUUGAGGAGAAGACCAAGACUACCACUGAUAAGCAGGGGUAUCAAGCUGGAUAUUCACCAUCAUUUGUAUAAGUCAAGGACAAGCUUAGUACAAUGAACAUAGAUGAACGUUAGAACAAAAAAGCAGUAGCAUAAACGACUCCCUGUUAGAGGCAAACAAUUGGGGUAUGCAUCUAAGGGUAUUAAAAACGGCAUUCAUUUUGGUGUUGUAACUAUUUUUUAGAUUGUAUAGGUCUUGACUUACCAAUGUUACUUCAACAAGUUUGAUGGAAAUCUUGUUUGUACAUUUACUAUGGGCUAUACAUUAUAUAGAAUGUGAUAUGUGAAGCUUAAUUAAGAUGGUGUAAUUAAAUAAUUUAUUUUAUGAUGUUAAGAUAAAUUUUAUUGGACCAUUAUCUAA